rnacentral:rRNA from 1 species
CCUACGGGAGGCUGCAGUGAGGAAUAUUGCACAAUGGGGGAAACCCUGAUGCAGCGACGCCGCGUGCGUGAAGAAGUAUUUCUGUAUGUAAAGCUCUAUCAGCAGGGAAGAAAAUGACGGUACCUGACUAAGAAGCCCCGGCUAACUACGUGCCAGCAGCCGCGGUAAUACGUAGGGGGCAAGCGUUAUCCGGAUUUACUGGGUGUAAAGGGAGCGUAGACGGCCAGACAAGUCAGAAGUGAAAGCCCAGGGCUCAACCCUGGGACUGCUUUUGAAACUGCUGGGCUGGAGUGUAGGAGGGGUAGGCGGAAUGCCUAGUGUAGCGGUGAAAUGCGUAGAGAUUAGGAGGAACACCAGUGGCGAAGGCGGCUUACUGGACUGCAACUGACGUUGAGGCUCGAAAGCGUGGGGAGCAAACAGGAUUAGAUACCCCGGUAGUC